CCGGGCGGGCCGCGCUAGGCCGGGCCGGCGGGCAGCGAGCGACGCGGGCGAGACGAUCAGCUGUUCGAGGGGAGGUUCAGCGCGCCGAGCCGGAAGGGAGGCGGGCAGGAAGGGCCGCGGCUCGGAGCCGCAACAGGAAGGAAGAAGGGAAUGAGGCAGGGCUGACGUGAAGGGAUGCAAAACAGCCCCUCCUAACCCGCGCGGAGAGAGAGAAAGAGAAAGGCGCAGAGAGGAGGGAGAGCCGCCGCCGCCCUUUUAUCUCGCUUUUGUUGUCGCACUUCCUCUCGCUCCUGCCGCGCCAAGUUUUCUUUCUCCUGCAGCCCGGCUUCUCUCCCCCCUUCCGCCUCCGCGGAGACCCCGAGACCCCCCUGCUCUCCCCGGGCCAGAUGGAGCUCCGGGGAAGCUGAGCUCGGCCGCUUCCCGGUGAAACAGGACAUAAACAUCUUAGAAGCCAUCAAAAUGCUGACGAAGAACCUUUUGCUGCCCCAUAAAUCACCCUCCUUGCUAAUGGCCUCUUCCUUGAUGGGCAUGUCCUCUUCUGCUGAAUCUACUUCCGAGGGAGGGGGGAGCCAGCAUUUCCUGCUUGCCUCCCUGCCUGGCCUUCAGCACGAUCUGAACUGCUCCAGGACAAGGGCUUGCCAGGAGCUCUAGUCAAAAAGCAAGCUGGGCACCCUGACAGCCUGUGGAGUGGCUGAGGAUGAGCGAUCAGGCAUCUCUGGCAUUUUUUAAAAUGUAUUUGCAUAUAAUUUUUAUUAAGGAUUUUGAUUAGAAUAGUAAAAGUUAAUACAAACUAUAUAAAAUAAAGAAAAAAAUAGAAUAAAAAGUGCAAAAAAAAUUAGGAAUAUAGUGAAGAAAGAGGAAAUAAAUAUAUAAAUAACUUCCAACCUUCAUCACACAUAUAGACAAAUUUAGUAACUCCUAAUCCCCUCCAAGAUUACAAAUAGAUUUGUCCAUAUCCCACAUCCCUUCCUUUAACAAUAAGCAAAUCCAUAAAACUUUUCAAUUCUGGUGGCAGCAAAAAAAGUCCAUAAACGGCUGCCGGAACUUUGGAAAUAAAUGUCUUAUUUUAACCUUGAUCAAAUAAGUCAACUCUAUGCUCUUUUAUUUUAUUUUUAACAGUCACUCUUGAGUUUAUUGAAAUUCUGACAUAACGUUUGAUUUAAUUGUUUAUCCAAUUACUCCAAUAAACAUCCUUUUCCAAAUUACUUAUCCAAUUACUCAGAUUUCAUCAAGGGUUUAACAAGCUCCUUUUGUAGAUUCAAUAAAACAUUUUCCACAUUUUCAGGAGCCGAGGUGGCGCAGUGGUUAAAUGCAGCACUGCAGGCUACUUCAGCUGACUGCA